rnacentral:misc_RNA from 1 species
AGCCAUUGCAGCUAACGUCGGAUUUUACAGUCGCAACCAACUGGGUAGCCAUAUAAAUCACAGCCAUUCACAUUUUCAAAUGCCCUAAGUUUGGCGGACGGAACGCAAAACCCAAAACUGUGUGCAAGCAGUGGAGCCAACAAAUAAUUACAAUUUAAGCGGAAUCCGAGAAGGCAAAAAGCACACAGAGCGGAACCCGGCGAGAAGCUGAGCGACGGGAAAAGGCGAAAAAAGUUGCCAGCACGCCGGAGAGUUUGCCCAGCAAGCGGGACGAGGCAAGUGGUGGGGCGGGCACCA